rnacentral:tRNA from 1 species
GCUGGGAUGUAGCUUAGUGGCAAAGCAUUUGCCUCGAAUUUGCAAAUCCCUGGGUUUGAUCCCCAGUUCCAAAA